UGGAAACGGUAGCUAAUACCGCAUAACGUCGCAAGACCAAAGAGGGGGACCUUCGGGCCUCUUGCCAUCGGAUGUGCCCAGAUGGGAUUAGCUAGUAGGUGGGGUAACGGCUCACCUAGGCGACGAUCCCUAGCUGGUCUGAGAGGAUGACCAGCCACACUGGAACUGAGACACGGUCCAGACUCCUACGGGAGGCAGCAUG
rnacentral:rRNA from 1 species